ACUGUCAUUCUCACUCUCACUUUCCGCGCCCAAACACCAUAAACAGUAGUACAGUACACGCUUCUGAAAUUCCAUCACUUGUACAAAAAAGGAAAGGCCAAAACGGUGUCGCAUUGAAUGCACGCCACCCUUUCCCCCGUGGCUUUGUUCGUUGCUUGCUUUGGCCCUCCGCCCUCUUUUCCUCUCACCAGAACUGCACACCAGGUGUUCGGCGAAAUGCCUGAGCCAUGCUCGCCUUCACCCACUUCCAUCUAGUCCCCGGUUUUUUUCCUCCGGUCCUCCACGUCACCAAUUCGGCCUCCGGAAUGAGGCGGGGACGUGUUCUUGGGCCGGCGAGGCUUAGGGUGGUGGGAGAAAGCAGGGUUUCUGUUGUUCUAGGGUUUUGGGAGGGGAGGAAAGAAGGGGGUUGUGGGUUUGUGAGGCGGUGUAGGGAUUCGGAUUUGGAAGGGGAUUUUGCCCUGGAAGCUGAGAUUUUGGAGUUCAUGAAGGGCUCGGAGAAGCCUCGGGCUUUUCCGAGCAAGAGGGACUUGGUGGAGGCUGGGAGGUUGGAUUUGGUCGACGCCAUUGUGAGGGAAGGUGGUUGGCUUUCGCUGGGUUGGGAUUCGGGGGAUGAAGAAACAGCUCAAGAUAGUGGUGGCUUUAGGAAUUGGGAUGAAGGAUAUGAGAGCAGUGAUUCCGAUAUGGUUUCUGAUGAUUCUUCUUCUUCUUCUGUAGUAGCGUCGUCGUCUGGUACAUCACUAGAAGCCGCAACAACUGAGGUUGAUACUGGAAUCGAGGGUAUAUUGAACCGAUUAGAGAAACAGAGAAAUUUGACCCUUGGGUUUGUUUUGAGAGAUAAAGAAGACAGUACUGGCCUCGCAAAUAAUGAUAACAAACAUGAUCGGUGCCCUGAAACCUCAACUGAUGCGACAGUUGGUGCAACAAGUAGAAGUAUCAGACAUGCUUCAUCAAACCCCACUAAAGCCAUUCUUAGUGAUUUGGGAGGCCCACCUAAUCAUAGCAGAUCUCUUUUAGAUGCUGAUGUUCAGAGAAACUCACCAAAGCCUGAAAUGUGGAGAACUUGGAGCAGCCAAAGGGCUGGAUCUUCAGAUCUGGAAUUUGAAGCUGGUGAAGUUUCUUAUGAUGAAAUGGGAGAAUCAAAGGGAGUUUUGCAAAAUGAAAUACUUCAAACGAAAGAGGGUGCUAAUGAACCAAAUGGAAGGAAUGAUCUAGAUUCUGAGGAUGAAGUGAUCAAUUACAAACAAGUACGAAUUCGCAUGCAGCACCUUGAAUCCGAGCUAUCCUCUGUACUUCACUCAUUGAGGUCUAAAACUAGUAAUGUUGCACCAAAGGAGAUGGGGGUGAUUACUCCUGGUCAUGAAAGCUCCUCUGAUGAUUUGCGGAAAGUCUCUGAUGCUUGGGAGUUUCAAGAAAAUGAAAUUAUGCAUGCCCAGAACAAAUUACGUUCAACACGUGCAAAGCUUGCUGUUUUAGAAGGAAAGAUGGCAAUGGCAAUAAUUGAUGCGCAAAAGAAAGUGGAGGGGAAACAGAAUAGGGUUAAUGAUGCUCGUAGAGCCUUACGGCUUCUCCGAACUGCUUUAAUAGUUUGGACCAAUCCAGCCUCAGAAGUGCUUUUAGCAGGAUCAUAUGAUGGUUGGGCUACCCAGAGAAAGAUGGAGAGGUCGAGUACAGGAAUCUUCUCUGUUAGCCUUAAGUUGUAUCCGGGUAGAUAUGAGAUCAAAUUCAUUGUUGAUGGGGAAUGGCGAAUUGAUCCCCUACGCCCAAUUGUUCGCAACAACGGAUUUGAAAAUAAUAUACUGAUUAUAACAUAAGGGAAUUGCCAUCCGAUAGAAGAACUUUUUCUUUAACGUAGGGGAGUAGGUAGUAGCUACUAGCUAGGAACUCUUGUGAUUUUUUAUGUGAGGAUUCAUAUCUAACGUCGCUAAAUUCGUGAACACUCAAAUUUUUGGAUGGUGGACACAGAAGUCUACUACAGAAUUUCAGAUACAUACUUCUGGUCCAGGUUAAUCUGCACUAGGCAUGGCCAACUUUAUCAUUUCAUCCUACCAUUCAUUUCUGUCGUGUUACAUUUCCAACCACGUCCUUGUUCA